GGUGGGAUUACCGCAUCCUGAAGUGUCGGGCUCAUAACCCGAAGGUCGCGGGUUCAAAUCCCGCCCCCGCUA
rnacentral:tRNA from 1 species